rnacentral:lncRNA from 1 species
AUCCAACAUUUUUUAGAUAAUUCCCUCAUUUAUAAAUAGAAAAUGCAUAGGUUAAAUGAUGAAAACUUGUGGAAAUAAUUAAAAUACAAAAGUGGGGUCGAAUUUUAUCGUACCACGAUUUUAGUCACCGAAAUUGCCACACACCACCAUACAAGUGUCCUUGGUUCACCACACACUGCCAUUAGAGCAUCGCAUGCCACCUCACACUUAGCUGUUAAAACCAGCACAUGCCAACAAAGCCACCAACGCACCAACAUGUUUUUGGUAGAAAUCAUCACAGAACAAGCCAUGCAUGUAGAUCCGGCUCAAAAAUGUCAGAAUAGUGCUGGAGAAAGGUGUGGAUGCAUGGAACCAUGCCUGGCCAACAUCAUGGUUCUCCUUCUUCUCUGGUAGUACCGUUAUGUGUUCCCUCUCUCCAACCUUCUGGUUAUGAGCCUUUCUGUCGUAUCGCACGCCACACGCACCAAACUCGCCUCACCAUCAGUCCAGUUUGUUCCCUCCUACUAUUUCUCUCUCUCCCUGAGCUCCUUUCUCUCUCUUCAUGACUCACUCUCUCUCUACUAAUUUGACUCUAUGUCUCUUCUUCUCGAUUUCUUCUCUUUUUUUUUAAUAGGUGAAACGACAGAGAGCUCUGCAUGCCUCUUUUUUCUUCUUCUUAGGCGUUUAUGUCCAGGCUUUUUUUUUUCUUCUUCAGUUGCCUGAGGCAUACACGCCUCUAGUUGUCUUCUUUUUUUUCCUAUU